rnacentral:rRNA from 1 species
CCUUGUACACACCGCCCGUCAAGCCACGAAAGCCGGAAGUACCCAAAGUCGCGUAUCUAACCGCAAGGAAGGAAGCGCCUACGGUAAGUUCGGUGAUUGGGACU